rnacentral:rRNA from 1 species
CCUACGGGGGGCUGCAGUGAGGAAUAUUGGUCAAUGGGCGCGAGCCUGAACCAGCCAAGUAGCGUGAAGGAUGACUGCCCUACGGGUUGUAAACUUCUUUUAUAAAGGAAUAAAGUGAGGCACGUGUGCCUUUUUGUAUGUACUUUAUGACUAAGGAUCGGCUAACUCCGUGCCAGCAGCCGCGGUAAUACGGAGGCUCCGAGGGUUAUCCGGAUUUAUUGGGUUUAAAGGGAGCGUAGAUGGGUUGUUAAGUCAGUGGUAAACAUUCGGUGCUCAACCCCGUCGUGCCGUUGAAACUGAUGUUCUUGAGUGGGCGAGAAGUAUGCGGAAGGCGUGGUGUAGCGGUGAAAUGCAUAGAUAUCACGCAGAACUCCGAUUGCGAAGGCAGCAUACCGGCGCCCAACUGACGCUGAAGCACGAAAGCGUGGGUAUCGAACAGGAUUAGAUACCCUGGUAGUC